rnacentral:rRNA from 1 species
UAUGUGAUCGUCUCUCGCAUAUCAAUAAGCGGAGGAAAAGAAACUAACAAGGAUUCCCCUAGUAACGGCGAGUGAAGCGGGAAGAGCUCAAAUUUGAAAUCUUAAAGGGUUUCCCUUUACGAAUUGUAGUUUAAAGAAGUGCUUUCUGUUGAGGUUUUGGUAAAAGUUCUUUGGAAUAGGACAUCAUAGAGGGUGAGAAUCCCGUAUUUGACCUUUACUUUCAACUUUGUGAUACACUUUCAAAGAGUCGGAUUGUUUGGGAAUGCAGUCCAAAAUGGGUGGUCAAAUUUCAUCUAAAGCUAAAUAUUGGCGAGAGACCGAUAGCGAACAAGUACCGUGAGGGAAAGAUGAAAAGAACUUUGAAAAGAGAGUUAAACAGUACGUGAAAUUGUCAAAAGGGAAGCGUUUGACACCAGUGUUGUUUUUCUGAAAAUCAAUUAAAGAACUGUUUAUGCUAAGUUGUUUAGACUUUAUCAGCUAACUGUUUAGUUUUGAGCUUUUCUUUAAUGCACUUUUCAGUUAACAAGUCAACAUCAAUUUCUUUUGCUGUAAAAAAGCUUGAGGAAGGUGGCUUGAGAUUCGUCUUAAGUGUUUAUAGCCUCUUGCCUAUGCAGUCGGAGAGAUUGAGGUCUGCAGCGUAGAUCCUUCGGGGCUAAAUGCAUUUGUGCUAAGUUAUAGCAUUUUAUAGACAACUUGUUGACUAUGAUUUGUCUUGUAGCUUACUCGCUUAUGUUAUUUUACCUACGCUUAGGAUGUUGAGUAGCGACAUACGCAC